GGACUACAAGGGUUUCUAAUCCCGUUCGCUCCCCUAGCUUUCGCGCAUCAGCGUCAGUGAAGGUCCAGCAUGCCGCUUUCGCCACCGGAGUUCCUGAUGAUAUCAACACAUUUCACCGCUCCACCAUCAGUUCCGCAUGCCCCUACCUUACUCGAGACAUUCAGUAUCAAAGGCAGUUCCCCAGUUAAGCUGGGGGAUUUCACCCCUGACUUUAACGCCCGCCUACGCGCCCUUUAAGCCCAGUGAUUCCGAACAACGUUCGCACGGUUCGUCUUACCGCGGCGGCUGGCAC
rnacentral:rRNA from 1 species